UACGUAGGGGGCAAGCGUUGUCCGGAUUUAUUGGGCGUAAAGAGCGUGUAGGCGGCCGUACAGGUCAGCUGUGAAAACUCGAGGCUCAACCUCGAGACGUCGGUUGAAACCGUACGGCUAGAGUCCGGAAGAGGAGAGUGGAAUUCCCGGUGUAGCGGUGAAAUUCGUAGAUAUUCGGAAGAACACCAGUGGCGAAGGCGGCUCACUGGCCCGGUACUGACGCUGAGGUGCGAAAGCGUGGGGAGCAAACAGG
rnacentral:rRNA from 1 species